rnacentral:tRNA from 3 species
CCGCCUGUAGCUCAGUUGGUUAGAGCAUCUAGCUUAUACCUAGAGGGUCCUACGUUCGAAUCGUAGCAGGCGGACAA